rnacentral:tRNA from 1 species
GAGAUACUAGUAAAAUCAUAUAUUACCCUGUUUUGUCAAGACAAAAUUGCAGGUUAGACCCCUGCGUAUCUUA